GAAGCUUCAGUGACAAAUUCUGUUUCAUCGCAUUCAAAAGCCAACCAUGGAUGCCUGAGGCACUCCUCAGCUAAAGCUCGCUCUCUGCCAAAGAAAAGCAGAUAAUAUAAACAAAGAGCGUCUUCCAGGGACUUCCCUUGGAGCUGGCAGCAGUCGGAGGCCGGAGACUCAGGAAGCAGUAAAGAGCUAAACAGCUUCUGCAAUCAGCCUUUCGAAAUCCUGCACUUGGGGAUACUAAAUGGUAUCAACAGAGAAGUGAACCACUAAAGGAACAAGAACAGAUUGAAGGCAACAAAAAGAGCUAUGCUAACUGCUGACUCCCAGUUUGACAGCUGAAGAAGUGGAAAUGAGGAGAAGGAAUGUCAGGAGCGGUGGGAGCAGCUAUUUCCCGGAAUGUUGGCAGCGAUGGGCCCACCGUUGAUUUUGAGCCCAGUUCUGGGUGUGGCUGCUUCAGCAUUGCUGAGAUUGGUCCUAGCACAGACUCAUGGCAAGACCACCCUCAAAAAUGGCAAUAUGGUUCCAGUGGUGCAGGCACCCGAGUGUUCGCAGACUGAGGGACGGACUUUGUGGCUUUGUUCUUCUGGUGGCUGGACCCAUGGCAGAGGUGGGCGAGUGACAUGGAUGUUUACUUUUUUUUGACUGGCUUUUUUAUUUCUGUUUUUAAUCCUAUCUUUUGAAUAGUAAGAUGGCACCGGAAAACAGCAACUAUGCACACUUUUCACUGUACUCCUGCAUUCGUGCAGUCGAGUGUACGUGACGAUAAAAAAAAGUCUAAAUCUAGAAUAGGCUGAAUACUGUGUACAAUAUCUGCAAAUCCCAGCAAUAGAUAUGGGAGAAAAUAGAAUAUCAUAAAAGAGAGUGGACUCAGUAAGGUAUCAACAUUACCAGGUACCAGAACUGAUGAUGACACAAUUACCAGCCUCAAAAUGUAGCCUUUCAACUUGUAAUACAAUCUCUCCAUGAUCAUACAACCCUUUCUGUCCAUUUCACGCACACCCAUACUCCAAGCAAAGCACACAUUCAACUUACAACAGCAAACCUUCCAGUGGUUUCACUACAACACACCCAGUUUGGAUUUCAGGUCAGAUUUAUGACUGUUAUCAUCAACAUCUUUUUCCUGGGACAUGAAGCAGUUGUGGUGACAUUCAGAAGCAAGUCACUUCUUACAGUGGAAAAGCAGCUGAAAGUGAAGGCUAGCUGAGCACUGGCUGAUAAUGCAGUACUAGAUGAGUACCAUAACCUUGACAAUUGAUGGAAGUACUUCCAGUGUUAGAAUGCAUCUGUAGGCAUGCUCGCUGCAGGUGAAAGACAGAGUCUGAAGCAGCUGUCCAUUGUCCUUGAUGAGUAAGUGUGUCAAGGUUUGGCGUCUGCUGAUGCCAGGCAUUGUUCAUUGCUCAUAUACUGCUUAGGAAAUAAUUCAUUUUUAUUUGUAUUUAGGAUGAGAGCAUUGCUGCUGAGGCCAGCAUUUAUUACCCAAUGCUGCUGCUUUUUGAGAAACUAGUGGUGAACUGCCUUUUCGAAUACAACCAAAUAACUUGCUAUGCCAUUUCAGAGGGCAAUUAAGAGUCAACUACAUUGCUGUGGUCUGAGUUCACAUAUACAGCACCCUGGUUAAGGAAGGAAGAGUUCCUUCCCUCAAGGACAUUAUUAAAUCAGAGGCAUUUUUAUGAUCAUUCUGUAGUUUAAAUAAUCUAGACGAUUUAUUUAAUUAAUUGAAUUUUAUUGCCCCAGCUACCACAGCAAUAAUAACACUGCAAUAUGAACUCACCUCUUGAUUAUUAUUCCAGGCUUCAGGGGUUAUUACUCAGGUAAAAGAAUCACAAUGCAGUGGAAAGGGCAAAUCUGGUUGGGUUGUGCAUCCUACU